GAAAGCCUGACGGAGCGACGCCGCGUGAACGAAGAAGGCCGUGAGGUUGUAAAGUUCUUUUCGGGAGGGGGAAUGACCGUGGCAGGGAAUGGCCGCGGGAUGACGUGAAUCCCGGAAUAAGCCCCGGCUAACUACGUGCCAGCAGCCGCGGUAACACGUAGGGGGCGAGCGUUGUUCGGAAUCAUUGGGCGUAAAGGGCGUGCAGGCGGCASUGCAAGUCCGGCGUGAAAGACCCCGGCCCAACCGGGGGGGUGCGCUGGAAACUGCGGUGCUUGAGUACAGGAGGGGAUGCCGGAAUUCCAGGUGUAGGGGUGAAAUCUGUAGAUAUCUGGAAGAACACCGAUGGCGAAGGCAGGCAUCUGGCCAUGUACUGACGCUGAGACGCGAAGGUGCGGGGAGCAAACAGGUUUAGAUACCCUGGUAGUCC
rnacentral:rRNA from 1 species